rnacentral:rRNA from 1 species
UACGAAGGGUGCAAGCGUUACUCGGAAUUACUGGGCGUAAAGCGUGCGUAGGUGGUGAGUUAAGUCUGUCGUGAAAGCCCCGGGCUCAACCUGGGAAUGGCGAUGGAUACUGGCUCGCUAGAGUGCGGUAGAGGAGAGUGGAAUUCCCGGUGUAGAGGUGAAAUUCGUAGAUAUCGGGAGGAACACCAGAGGCGAAGGCGGCGACCUGGAACGUGACUGACACUGAGCAGCGAAAGCGUGGGGAGCAAACAGG